rnacentral:rRNA from 1 species
GAUGAACGCUGGCGGCGUGCCUAAUACAUGCAAGUCGAGCGAACAGACGAGGAGCUUGCUCCUCUGACGUUAGCGGCGGACGGGUGAGUAACACGUGGAUAACCUACCUAUAAGACUGGGAUAACUUCGGGAAACCGGAGCUAAUACCGGAUAAUAUAUUGAACCGCAUGGUUCAAUAGUGAAAGACGGUUUUGCUGUCACUUAUAGAUGGAUCCGCGCCGCAUUAGCUAGUUGGUAAGGUAACGGCUUACCAAGGCAACGAUGCGUAGCCGACCUGAGAGGGUGAUCGGCCACACUGGAACUGAGACACGGUCCAGACUCCUACGGGAGGCAGCGGUAGGGAAUCUUCCGCAAUGGGCGAAAGCUUGACGGAGCAACGCCGCGUGAGUGAUGAAGGUCUUCGGAUCGUAAAACUCUGUUAUUAGGGAAGAACAAAUGUGUAAGUAACUAUGCACGUCUUGACGGUACCUAAUCAGAAAGCCACGGCUAACUACGU